AUUUUUACUAAAUAGUUUUUGACUGACACAGAUCACAAAGAACUUCGAAUGAUACUGUGCACAGUAUUUCAAGAAUAGAUUUUACUAGUCAUUUCUGCACUGCCUUGCAGCUAAUACGCUUCUUAAAGUCGUUGUUGCUCCGUACUAAAGAACUCCUUAGUUAACAAAGUUUGAAUUCCUUCUUCACUUCGAAGAGUUAAUCUUCUCGCUUUGACUUUCAUCCCAACAACAUUAAGAGAAUGGUAGCGACGGAAUACGACUUGAGGAAAACUAACGAACGUCAAUUGAUCAACGAUGUGAGGCAACGUAAAAUUACCAGAAGUUCGCCAGCUCGUCACCGAGAAUUUGUUCCAUUUCUAGGCUUGAUACUGGUUGUUUUAGCAAUGCUCGCCUACUACCUCGGAACAACGCAACGAUUCACAAUGAAAGGUAGAAAACCUGGGCUCAUAUUAAUGAGGGUGGUAAAGGGGGGGUAUAGAUCACGUUUCACGGAAAAUAAAGCAGCCCUUUCACAAUUCACGGAAAAUACAACAUUGGCAUUUCAAGCUUCACGGAAAAUAAAAGAGAACAUCUUGGAAAAUCACAGUUCACGGCGACUAUGGAAAUCACGAUUUACGAGGAAAAAAUGGCUAUUUCACAUUUCACAGGAAAUAAAAGGGCCGAUCACGGGUCACGUAAAUACCCUUUACCACCCUCAUUAAUUUGUUCACAAGAAUUUUUUCAGUGGGAGGGGUUGGGGAGGAGGGCGCUCAUUGUCUCAAAUUAAAGAAUUUUGCGUUUAGGAAAGGUUUGGGCUUAUAUUCGAAUACGGCAUAGUCUGAAGUCUCUGAAGAUAACGCUGUGAAAACAACAGUACUGCAGUCGUUAAACGAACAAUCCAUUUACUAUACCAACUAUAAAACAUGUCCCCUGCCGCAUACCCUUAUUUUCGGGCUUUUUUUUUCGAGGUGAGGGCGGGCUUUCUUCAGGGUUGGCAAUGGCAGUAGCGGUAUACCAAUAUACUUAAGAAGGCAAACCCAUUAUACCCAACAUUUUCCCUCAAAUUCAUGC